rnacentral:rRNA from 1 species
UACAGAGGGGGCAAGCGUUAUUCGGAAUUAUUGGGCGUAAAGAGCUCGUAGGCGGCUUGUUACGUCGGUUGUGAAAGCCCGGGGCUCAACCCCGGGUCUGCAGUCGAUACGGGCAGGCUGGAGUGUGGUAGGGGAGAUCGGAAUUCCUGGUGUAGCGGUGAAAUGCGCAGAUAUCAGGAGGAACACCGGUGGCGAAGGCGGAUCUCUGGGCCAUUACUGACGCUGAGGAGCGAAAGCGUGGGGAGCGAACAGG